AGUUUUAUAGUUUAAAAAACAUUAAAUUGCAAAUUUAAAGAUAGAAAUUAAUUCUUAAAACUU
rnacentral:tRNA from 1 species